rnacentral:rRNA from 1 species
CGGGAGCUUGUACAGGUGCUGCAUGGCUGUCGUCAGCUCGUGUCGUGAGAUGUUCGGUUAAGUCCGCUAACGAGCGCAACCCUCGCUGUGUGUUACAAGUGUCACACGGAACUGCCGGUCAUAAACCGGAGGAAGGUGGGGAUGACGUCAAGUCAGCAUGGCCUUUAUAUCCUGGGCUACACACACGCUACAAUGGGAAGGGACAAUAGGUUGCGAAGCCGCGAGGCGGAGCCAAUCCAGCAAAACUUCCCUCAGUUCAGAUUGCAGGCUGCAACUCGCCUGCAUGAAGUUGGAGUUGCUAGUAAACGCAGGUCAGCCAUACUGCGUUGAAUACGUUCCCGGGGCUU